rnacentral:rRNA from 1 species
AGAACGAACGCUGGCGGCAUGCCUAACACAUGCAAGUCGAGCGGGCGUAGCAAUACGUCAGCGGCAGACGGGUGAGUAACGCGUGGGAACGUACCUUUUGGUUCGGAACAACACAGGGAAACUUGUGCUAAUACCGGAUAAGCCCUUACGGGGAAAGAUUUAUCGCCGAAAGAUCGGCCCGCGUCUGAUUAGCUAGUUGGUGAGGUAACGGCUCACCAAGGCGACGAUCAGUAGCUGGUCUGAGAGGAUGAUCAGCCACAUUGGGACUGAGACACGGCCCAAACUCCUACGGGAGGCAGCAGUGGGGAAUAUUGGACAAUGGGCGAAAGCCUGAUCCAGCCAUGCCGCGUGAGUGAUGAAGGCCCUAGGGUUGUAAAGCUCUUUUGUGCGGGAAGAUAAUGACGGUACCGCAAGAAUAAGCCCGGCUAACUUCGUGCCAGCAGCCGC